rnacentral:rRNA from 1 species
AACGAACGCUGGCGGCAUGCCUAACACUUGCAAGUCGAACGAGACCUUCGGGUCUAGUGGCGCACGGGUGCGUAACGCGUGGGAACCUGCCCUUAGGUUCGGAAUAACUCCCCGAAAGGGGUGCUAAUACCGGAUAAUGUCUUCGGACCAAAGAUUUAUCGCCUUUGGAUGGGCCCGCGUUGGAUUAGCUAGUUGGUAGGGUAAAAGCCUACCAAGGCGACGAUCCAUAGCUGGUCUGAGAGGAUGAUCAGCCACACUGGGACUGAGACACGGCCCAGACUCCUACGGGAGGCAGCAGUGGGGAAUAUUGGACAAUGGGCGAAAGCCUGAUCCAGCAAUGCCGCGGGAGUGAUGAAGGCCUUAGGGUUGUAAAGCUCUUUUACCCGGGAUGAUAAUGACAGGACCGGGAGAAUAAGCUCCGGCUAACUCCGU